UGAUCAUCUCCCGCAUCGGACAGGGACAUUUCCCCCACGGAGGUUUCCAGGGAGUGGGGACACCCUGAAACCCAUCCCACAAACACAGCUCCUACAGCAACACUGAAGUCCACGGUUCUUUUUACUCCUACUUUAAUUCCUGGAAGCGCUGAAGUGCUCUCUUUCCUUGGAUGCCAUCAACUCCUUUUGUAAACUGUUUUCUGCUAAUAAACCCAAACAAUGAGCAAAGCACUUCCGAUGCAGACAGAAGAUGAUUUAAGGUGUGUUUCGUCUGAUUCACAACCCAGAACUGGGUUUUCUAGGUCCCUAGGGAAUUUUCUGCAAUGAAGCACAUCUCCCCAUUCAUUUCAGGGAAGCAGGUCAAUGUUGGAGUGGUGAAGUCCCAACACUCUCAAGGGAAAUCCACUUUCCAGAACAGAAUCUCCAAGAGGUACUGAAGGACAUGGCUGUAGAUGUUUGUUCCAGAUGUUCCUUGCUACAAGAGCAGAGGCCAAGCUCUUCUCUUACCAGAUGGGACACAGAAGGAGUCGACCUUACCUUUUCUGGCUAAUGAUAAACUGCAGGGACUUGUCCUCUCUGCCAGAUACCUGACCAGCACUGCGAAAAAUGGGGAUGGAUCCCCAUGGCAUAACUUGUCCAGAUCUUCUCAAGGCUGUGGGAUCUCUGCUCCCUUUGAGCUCUGUGAAAGCAGGACACGACUCAGUCACAGCUCUGACCACUCUCCUCCUCUUCAGCCCUUAGGAAAGAUUACUCAGGCAGCUUCGAUUACCAGAGGAAUCCUCCACCUCAAAGUAUUUGGGAAAUGGGCACAGUUGGCAGCUCUGCCCUAGAGAAUUGUUUCAGAUUAUCAGGAGAGUUGCCUCUGUGGUAUAGAGAGGGAAGUGCCCCUCUCUACUGGGAUAUUUGUGCCUUAUAUGACAACAUACACAAAAUACAGGGGCCCCAAGAUGAGAUUUCCAGAAAAGCUUUGUAUCUUUGCACAUCCAAAAGCAUCUGCACGGCUGCCAUCUGCUCUGCAAAAGCAAUGCUGGCAGUGCCACUACAGGCAUGUCACACCCAUGUGCAGUUAAAUCCCCCAGGUACCAGGUCCCUCCAAAGCCAUCGGUGCAGCAGCUGGUGCUGAGCAGGGCUGGGCUGUUUCACAAGCCAAUGUCGCCCUCUUUUGUUCUCUGGUUGCCACCCGCAGGAGCUCAGGGACCGCACCAGCCAGUGUGGAUGGAUGGACACUCCCUCAAGUGUGGCAGAAAGAAGCUCCACAAAAUUUGGAAACAGAUGGGUCACCCUGUGCACGCUGUGAACAAAAUUACAGAAUCCCAGAAUGGUUUGUAGGGGACCCUAAAGACCAUCCAGUCCCACCCCUGCCAUGGGCAAGGACACCUUCACUAGACCAGGCUGCUCCAAGCCCCAUCCAGCCUGGCCUGGGACACUUCCAGGGAUGGGGCAGCCACAGCUGCUCUGGGCACCCUGUGCCAGGGCCUGCCCACCCUCCCAGGGAACAAUUCCUUCCCAAUAUCCCAGCCCUGCCCUCUGGCACUGGGAAGCCAUUCCCUGUGUCCUGUCCCUCCAGGCCCUUGUAAAAGAGUCUCUCUCCAUCUUCCUUGUAGUCUUCCCUCAGGUACUGGAAAGGGCCACAAUUAGGUCACCCCAGAGCUCCUCAUCUCCAGGCUGAACAAUCCCAAUUCUCUCAGCUUGUCAUUGUACAAGAGGUGUUCUAUCCUUCUGAUCACCCUGGUGGCCUCCUCAGCUUCCCUCCUUCCUCCUUCAUCCUCCCUCCUUCUUCCCAGAAGGCCAAAUAAAUAAAUAUCUAACGGGAUGCCAAGAAGAUGGAGCUGGACUCUGCUCGGUGGUGCUGAGCAAUAGGACAAGAGGUGACAGGCCCAGGAAGUUCCACCUGAACAUGAGGAAGAACUUCUUCAUUGUGCAGUGACCAAGCACUGGAACAGAUUGCCCAGAGAAGGUGUGGAGUUUUUAUUGCUGGAGAUACUCCAGAACUGUCUGGAGGCAGUCCUGGACAAUCCAUUCAAAUCCUUUGAAUUUGAACCCUUUACGCCUCGUUGUAAGAGGACAAGGGGGGAUGGGUUCAGUUUGAAAGAGCAGGGUUAGAUGAGAUACUGGGAAAAAAUUUCUCCCCAUGAGGAUGGGCAGGCCCUGGCACA
rnacentral:lncRNA from 1 species